UGGAUUUCUUGGUCUAGUUUUAAAUUUAAUUCUUGGUAUUGUGUUUGUAAAUCUAACCCAUUGUCCGGUUUGGGCUAGAUCUGUGUUAUGUCUCUUACAAAUCUUUCAUUUGAAUGAGUUUUGCUUAGCGACUCAUGGUUUUUGUUUGACUGGUUGUAGAAAUAAAACGUAUGGGACAAGUUCUUGUUGUUGUUGAUGGCAUAUUGAAUCUUUUUGAAAGAUGCGGUUAAUAGGCUUAAUGCUCUCGGGGGCAGAGAAGAUGAGCUCUCUCCUUCAGUUCAACAUGUAAAGACUCUUCCGGUGUAUCUCCAUAAUCCAUGGUCGGAAAAAAUUCUUCUUGGGGAGGAGGUUCUCUAAGCUUGACAUAGUACAAGGUUUACAAGAGUGAUAGUUUGCAAACCGAACGGGAAAGAGAAAACCGAUGAAUGGUUUAAAGAACCGAUGUUUCAACAUAUUGAAACAACUUUGACCCAAGAAAAAACAUAUUAAAACAACAAAAUCGCUA